UCCUGUUUUCCGAAACCAAAGGUUCAGAAAGUGAAAAAAGGAUAGGUGCAGAGACUCAACGGAAGCUGUUCUAACAAAUGGAGUUGGCUGCGUUAGUAGAGAAAUCUUUCCAUCGAAAAUUCCGAAAGGAUAAAGUGAAAGAUAAACGUAUAUACGUAUUGAAUACUAUAUAAAAUCAAAUGAUUAAUGACGACUCGACUGAAUCCGUUUUUUAUAUGAAAACGGAAGAAUUGGUGUGAAUAGAUUCCACAUUGAAGAAAGAAUCGAAUAUUCAUUGAUUAAAUGAUUCACUCCAUAGUCUGAUAGAUCUUUUCAAGAAUUUAUUAAUCGGACGAGAAUAAAGAUAGAGUCCCGUUCUACAUGUCAAUGUCGGCAACAAUGAAAUUUAUAGUAAGAGG
rnacentral:tRNA from 1 species